GGGAAGGUGGCUCAGUGGUAGAGUGCUUGCCUUGCAUGCAUGAGGCCCUGGGUUCAAUUCCUCUGCACCCCA
rfam:Dipodomys ordii contig_33079, whole genome shotgun sequence.